GAACAGUGUGAGGAAAAAAGAAAAACUAACAUGUCCUUUCAGUGAGAAGACCACAGCGGACAUCAUACCAACCGAUCACUGGCUGAGGUCAUGUGGAAAGACUGGAGAUCUACAGCAGCAUUGCAGUCCAGCCAGAUGAUCAACCAGUAGCUGCUCGCAUCUCAGCCUGCUUGAUGGAAAUUUCCGACUUUCACCUGGAUGACCUUUACCUUCAACUCCACCUUGCCAAGACAGAAGUUCUCGUGGUUUCAGCCACCCAUCUUUUGUGUUAUAAUCAAUCAGUUAAACUUCACAGACUACAGUGCUGGAACUGCCUGAUCUUGAAGAUUUGCCCAGUACAACUUUGGGAAGACCAGGCCAUUCCUAUCGGAAAAUGCUACACAACAGAACAACAACUGGCUCUGCUAGCCUGUACCUAUACGCCCUCCAGAAGCUUGUGCUCUGAAAGUGAACAGCAUCUUGUGGUGCCAUCCCAAAGGGGCACAAACUCACUUUAACUGACCUUUACCUGGACUGUCCCAUGCUGGUGGAAUAACCUGACUAACUCAAACCAUUUUCAAGAGACUGCUAAAGGUGCAUUUUUUUUGUGUGUGAACAAUUGUCCUGAUGAUACCAUCUGAUUAACUGAAAAAAAAUAAUUUCUAUGCAUACUGUGCUAGACUAACUGGAAAUUGUCGU